rnacentral:rRNA from 1 species
AUUAUUGGAAAUGAAAUGUUAUUCGUUUAUAAAGAUAUCUAGUUUUUUUAGAAAUAAAUUUAAUUUAAAAAUUUUUAAUUUUAUUAAUUAAUUAUAUUAAUUAAUAAAUUUAUGAGUUUAAAUAUUUUAAGGGAUAAGCUUUAAAAUAAAUUUUUAUAAAUUAAUAAAUGAUAAUUAAAAUUAUAUGCAUAGAAUUAGUAAUUAUUAAAAAUUUUGUUAUAAAUUAUUUUAUAAAAUAUAUUAUUUAUUAUAAUUUUAAAUUUUUAUAAAAAUAUUUUUUUUAAUUUUAUUUAAAAAGUAAUAAUGAUAAAAUUAGUAUAUUUAUAUUAUGUUAAUAUAAUUUAUUUUGAUAAGUUUAUAUAAAGAACUCGGCAAAUAUUUUACUCGCCUGUUUAACAAAAACAUGUCUUUUUGCGUUAUUUUUAAAGUCUAACCUGCCCAAUGAAUAAAUUUUAAUGGCCGCAGUAUUUUGACUGUGCAAAGGUAGCAUAAUCAUUAGUCUUUUAAUUGAAGGCUUGAAUGAAUGGUUGGACGAAGUAUAAUCUGUUUCAUUUAAAUUUAUUAUAGAAUUUUAUAUUUAGUCAAAAAGCUAAAAUAUUUUUAAAAGACGAGAAGACCCUAUAAAUCUUUAUAAUUUAUAUUAUUUUUAUUUUUUAUAUUUAUUUUAUUUAAAUAAUUUGAAUUAUUUUGUUGGGGUGAUAUUAAAAUUUAAUAAACUUUUAAUUUAAUUAUUUCAUUAAUUUAUGUUUUAUUGAUCCAUUAAUAAUGAUUAAAAGAAUAAGUUACUUUAGGGAUAACAGCGUAAUUUUUUUGGAGAGUUCUUAUUGAUAAAAAAGUUUGCGACCUCGAUGUUGGAUUAAGAUAAAAUUUUAGGUGUA